rnacentral:rRNA from 1 species
CCUACGGGUGGCAGCAGUGAGGAAUAUUGGUCAAUGGGCGUAAGCCUGAACCAGCCAAGUCGCGUGAGGGAUGAAGGUUCUAUGGAUCGUAAACCUCUUUUAUAAGGGAAUAAAGUGUGGGACGUGUCCUAUUUUGUAUGUACCUUAUGAAUAAGGAUCGGCUAACUCCGUGCCAGCAGCCGCGGUAAUACGGAGGAUCCGAGCGUUAUCCGGAUUUAUUGGGUUUAAAGGGUGCGUAGACGGCCUUUUAAUUCAGCGGUGAAAGUCCGUGGCUCAACCAUAGAAUUGCCGUUGAAACUGGGGGGCUUGAGUAUGUUUGAGGCAGGCGGAAUGCGUGGUGUAGCGGUGAAAUGCUUAGAUAUCACGCAGAACCACGAUUGCGAAGGCAGCCUGCCAAGCCAUGACUGAUGCUGAUGCACGAAAGCGUGGGGAUCAAACAGGAUUAGAUACCCCAGUAGUC